AGUUACAUUGCAACUGGAAGAUCAUGUUAAAACGAAAUGCCCAAGCCAAUGAUGCUAACAGCUUUGUGGCACAUUUGGUUUACCAAGGAAUCAUGAGAGAAGACAAAAUUCCCAAUUGUAGUACUCUUACUAUAAUAAAACAAAUGGGACCACAUGGAUGUUCAGGUAACACAAUCAUCAGCGCAAGACGUUCAGAGAACAAAUGGAAAUUCCCAAUAAGGUAGGGAAGCAAUUCAAAUCCUGGAGGAUACUCUGUUGGACACCAGAAAGAACUACAUCCAUUUUUAGCAGAACAUAGAAUCAAAGCAGAUUAUGUGUACCAAUCUUAUGGGCCUGAUCUGAUGAAAAGAUGAGUUUUUCGCCGAACUGCAUUUUGUCUUUCUAGGCAGAGAAAUAUAUGCUCGCGAACGAUUUUGUACAAAGUGCUGGCUUCUAAAGCUUGCGCCGUUUCGAUCGUCAAACAAUUAUUCCAAAUGGAAUUUGUCGGACCGGUUGCGUCUCGAGUUAGUGUUAGCAAAAAAACUUAUAGAAACCAGACCCUUCCCCGUCAUUGUUCGCGACGAAUUUUAGAGAUAGAGUUAAAUAAAAUCGCACUGUUUCGGAAGAUCUUCUGUUUUAUGCUAUAGUAGUACUGGUAUGUGGUACGUAUUGUUUUUAUUGUAAUUUAUCUGAGAUUUUUAUGGCCCUCCUGUAAAGUAAGGAGGGCUUUCCAAAAAUUGUACCGCGGGCAUAUUGCCGGGUACGUUAAUUUAUAAUGGUUUCAGCAGCAAUACUCUCACCAUACGUUCAUUGAGUAUUGGCCUCCCACUUGAUAAGGACAAAUCAUAGUUUGAGUUUUACAAUGCUUUAUACUUUGGUAUGCCAGAAAUAGUGUUUGUGAAUGGCGCAAUUAUUUACGAACUGAAUCUUUUCUGUUGUUACAGCUAUAUUUAUAACUAUCCUAGAUAAUAUUAAUCUUUACUUUUGAAAACAAAGCUCACGAUUAAUUUAUGAUAUAUUUUAGGAACGGGAUUUAUCAGAGCCGCAAACUCUUGGUGACUUGCACCAAAAUCCAUGCACCUUGAUGAAAUGGAUUCCUGUCAUAGGUCAACUGACAUUCCGUGGUCUUCUCCUACUGGCAAUCGGAACGCAUGGACUAUUGGACUGCUAGUAGAAUCGAAAGAGUACGUUUCGCUACGACUCGAUUGGAUACAAUUUGUCAAACCUUGUGAGACAAGAGCGUCUUUUACAAUCAGAUCACAGUUUUCUAAAGGCACUAGAGGAGCGCAAAUCUUUACCUAUUUAUGCCUUCCAGAAUGCUGUUAUGGAUGCUGUUCACUGUAAUUCCGUUGUCAUAAUUCGUGGUAAUACGGGUUCUGGAAAAACCACUCAGGUUAGCUUGAUACCACAAGUUAAAUUAGGAUGAAAUUAUUUAUACUUUAAUUCAUUAAUGACCGGAAAUAAUGGAUUCUAAUUCUAAAUCUAAAUCUGUCCACCUAAGGUGUAUCGAGUCUACGGUAAUGAUCCCGAAUUAGAUGUGGUGAUUGGUCCCAUCGGAAUCGGCCAUUAUCCUAAUAUAUUCGCCAACAGAGAAAAACUAAAAGUACAAAUGGCUGAUGCUCGCUCAGGACCUUCUCUGAUUCACAAGUCUUCUGUCAACUGCCCAGAUUCAGAUGAAAUUGAAUUCCCGCUACCCUAUUUCGAUUUCAGCGAAAAAAUUGCGAUUUUCAUGCGACUGCGAUUUUCAUGCAGCCGAAUGCCCGAGCUCGCCUGCCUGUCAGAAUUCCAAACGUCCUUCAGACGAAAGAUAUAACAGCGAGUUCAAAUUUGGUCGCUACGAAACUCGUGUUGUAUCUCAUCAACCUUCCCUAUCAGUCAAAACUUUUCGUCAUGGAGAAACGAAUCGGUGAGCAAUGAAUCAAUUGGACCUUUUUCCACCGGUCAACGAGGAGUGGAUGGCAACUAGUGCGCAACUUUAGAGUACGAACGAAAACAAGAUGGCUAUUAGGAGGAUGAAAAGGCGCAAUCAGAGCACUGCAGCAUCUAUCAUCUAUCAUGCAUGUCCAGUUCCCAACGCUGAUGGAUUGAGUCUUGUAAUAGUAUAUCAAAGUACUCACUUCGGAAACAGUUUGGUUGUUUGAAUUCGUAUACGUGGAUCUCUUUAAAAUAAGACAAAAUCUAUUGUACUAUUCCAAAGCUUUGUAUGAUAUUUACGCUUUAACUUAAAUUAAAAUUGUGUGCAUGUAUGUUUGAAGAAUCCUCUUACUUAAAUACAAUGUCAAAUUACAACGUCAAA